CAAUCUCGUGUUGGAUCGGACAAAUUGAAUAAAUAGUACAAAAAUCCAGUCUGGUGGAAAAUAAAUUGUGGGCUGCACAAUUUAAAUAAAAUACAAAGGACCGUGAAUUAAACUUAACUAAUUAGUUCCGACCUGUUGACUUGGUCACCAAGCUGCAUUAAUUCAAAUAUUAAAUAAAUAUUCUGCAGAAAUAUUCCUCCUCCGUGAAUCAAAAAAAAAGAAGAAAUCGAAUUUCACUCCCCUCAACUCACAUUUGAAACCGUCAUCUCUCCCCACUCCGUAAAUCUCUCCCAAAUCACAAGCCUCUUUCAAUAUCUAACAACCCUAAUCUCCUCUUUUUCUACCACCACUCCUCCAUAAAAUUUCAUUCGCAAUCAAGUUCCACCCCCACAAGUUGCUCUACUAAAAUCAGCAAGAAGUUUAAAGAACAAGGCUGACAUUCUUCUUAUCUCAAUCGAAACAGAUUCAAGGUAAUCUCAUACACAGAAUUUCCCCCGCCUGCUAUUCUACAAUGUUUUGAAAAAUCAACUCACUCAAUCUUCCUGUCAGAAACCGAGAACUAAAGUGAGGGAGUUCCUGUUUCGUUCAGUUGCAAAUCUGCAAAUUGAAGGUGAUAUCUCGCAAGGGAAUCGUGAUCGCAAGGGAAAGAAAAUAAUUUCGGAUUAAGCACUCAAGGUUGAGCGAUGACGAGCUGCGUGGUGUUGAGCUUAAAUUGAAGUCUCGUUGGAUUUAUUUUGAACUCCGAGGGGCGUCGUGUCUUCAUACAUGGCGUCACUCUUACUCUUGAAUGCUUCCGCUGAAUUAUGACUGUUUUCUUUCUCAAUUAAGUUAUUGAACCCUCUUCCAUUCUUGGACUAUAAAUUCUGAUAAUUGUUGACUUCGGAUUCAAAUGUAAGAGUUUACUCUGAUUUUCUCUAGUUAUUGAAUAUUAAAUAUUUUGGUCAAA